rnacentral:rRNA from 1 species
CAUGGCUCAGGAUGAACGCUAGCUACAGGCUUAACACAUGCAAGUCGAGGGGCAGCAUGUGGUGCUGCAACCAAUGAUGGCGACCGGCGCACGGGUGAGUAACGCGUAUCCAACCUUCCCCUUAGUAGAGGAUAGCCCGGCGAAAGUCGGAUUAAUACUCUAUGUUCUUCAAUGCGGACAUCUAAGUUGAAGCAAAGAUUUAUCGCUAAGGGAUGGGGAUGCGUCUGAUUAGGUUGCAGGCGGGGUAACGGCCCACCUGGCCUACGAUCAGUAGGGGUUCUGAGAGGAAGGUCCCCCACACUGGUACUGAGACACGGACCAGACUCCUACGGGAGGCAGCAGUGAGGAAUAUUGGUCAAUGGGCGCGAGCCUGAACCAGCCAAGUAGCGUGCAAGGACGACUGCCCUAUGGGUUGUAAACUGCUUUUAUCAGGGAAUAAAGUGAGGCACGCGUGCCUUUUUGUAUGUACCUGAUGAAUAAGGACCGGCUAAUUCCGUGCCAGCCGCCGC